rfam:Triticum aestivum genome assembly, contig: Triticum_aestivum_CS42_TGACv1_scaffold_321579_4BL
CGUGUACUCCCUCCGUCCGAAAAAGUUUGUCCCUCAAAUGGAUGUAUCUAGUACCAAGUUAGUGCUAGAUACAUCCAUUUGAGAAACAAGCUUGGGACAAGCUUUUUCGGACGGAGGGAGUACUAU